rnacentral:misc_RNA from 1 species
GAUGAAGAACGCAGCGAAAUGCGAUACUUGGUGUGAAUUGCAGAAUCCCGUGAACCAUCGAGUCUUUGAACGCAAGUUGCGCCCGAAGCCAUUAGGCCGAGUGCACGCCUGCCUGGGCGUCACACGUCGUUGCCCCCCCAUCUACUCCUUCGGGAUUGCGGGGGGCGGAUGAUGGCCUCCCGUGCGCCUCGCCGCGCGGUUGGCAUAAAUGCCAAGUCCUCGGCGACGCACGCCACGACAAUCGGUGGUUGCGAAACCUCGGUUGCCCGUCGUGUGCGGUCGUCGCGCAUCGAGGGCUCGAAAAAAUUGCCGGGUUCCGGCUCGGCUUUCAACGCGACCCCAGGUCAGGCGGGGUUACCCGCUGAAUUUAAGCAUAUCAAUAAGCGGAGGA